rnacentral:lncRNA from 10 species
ACGCGCGCGGGGCAACCUCGUCUCGCCUCCCGGCCCGACGGAGCCCUCGCCUCACCUUUUCCAGCAGCUCCGCCGCCGGCCCGUCGUCCUCCUCGCCUCCGGUCCCAUUCGCCGCCGCAGCCGCCUCGGCCUGACAGUCGCCCGUAGGGGAGAACUGAGGUCGCUUGAAGCGCUUCGUCCGGCUCUUGCCCAUGGUGACGUGCGCUGGGCGGACAGACCACCGAGAGAGGAGGGCAACAGCAGGCGGUGGAGGCUGCCGCGCCGUUAACAAGGUCCGUUGCUGCUGCUCAGCUGGGCCGGCUGACGGCUGCAGCACACAUGGGCAAGCCGUGCGCAGGCGCACGGCGCGUCGUCUGCCGGGUCGGGGUUGGGGCGGGGCGGGGUGGGGGGAACUGGCGCACGGAGCGCGCAGGCGUGGAAGAGGGCAUAGGCGGGGCCAGCUUCGGCAAAGGGGCGGAGCCUUGUGGGUUUACCGGGUAAGUAGGAGGUUGGACUAGAAUAGUAACGCCGACCCGGGCGAGAGGAUCACUUGAGGCCAGAAGUUCGAGACCAUCUUGGGCAACAUAGGAAAACACUCCACUCCCUGUCCUCCCCACCAAAAAAAUUAAAAAUUAUCUGGGCAUAGUGGCGUGUGUGUGUAGUCCCAGCUACUUGGGACGUUGAAGCCGGAGGAUCACUUGACCCCAGGAGUUUGAGGCUGAGGUGAGCCGUGAUCCUGCUACUGCACUCCAUCCUGGGCGACAGAGCGAGACCCUGUCUCAAUCAAUCAAUCAAGCAACCAAUAAGUUAGUAACACCGGCUACAAAUAAUCAAAUGUGAUUAAGAAUACCUAACUUGCAAGGUUAUUGUAAGUUCUGUAAAGUUCAUAAAGUUCUGUAAAGUGCCUAACACCAAGCCUGAUAUAUAGCAGGUACUCAAAAAGCAUUAACCACGAUUUUAUUUUGUGUCCCCAGCACCUCCCAUAGCUCCUGUCGUAGACAGAGACUAGUUAAUGUUUUGGAACGAAUGUGUGUCUAUAUUUGAUAAAACAGAAUCGCUUAAGAACCUAAUCUCCCUGCCUUAGUUUCCUCAUCAGUGAAGUGGGGACAUCGAUAGUAUAUACCUCAUGGAGUUGUUACGAAGACUAAAUGUGUUCAUAUGUUUAAGGUGCUAAGAACAGAGACUGGCAGAUACUAAGCACUAUGUAAAUGUUUGGAAACGUAUUUAACAAAGAGAUUCUUUUGCAGAUAUUUGUUGAGUACUAGGUACAGUGCUGGGCAUUGGAAUAAAGCAGUAAUCAAGACAGUUUGGUUCCUGUCCUCUCUCCCUGUCCUUAUGGAAUUUACAGUCCAGGGAGAGAUCUGUUGAAUAUAUAAUUAUAUGAAUAACUUUGGUUAUAAUUGUGGUAAAUACUAAGCAGAGGGAAAAGUACAGGAGAAUCUUAGGUGGUCUUUAUAAUUAGACAUGUAACGAGUGAGUACUCAAUAUAUGCAUAGCUUUGGGUCAAUUUUCUUUUUUUCUUUUUGUUUUUGAAACAGAGUCUCACUCUGCUGUCCAGGCUGGAGUGCAAUGGUGCGAUCUCGGCUUAUUGUAACCUCUGCCUUGGAGUUCAAGCAGUCCUCCUGCCUUAGCCUCCUAAGUAGCUGAGAUUACAGGUAUGUGCCACCAUGCCCAGCUAUUUUUUUUUUAUUAUUAUUUUUAGGAGAGACGGGGUUUUACCACGUUGGUCAGGCUGGUCUCGAACUCUUGAUCUCAAAUGAUCUGCCUGCCUCAGCCUCCCAAAGUGCUAGUAUUACAGGUAUGAGCCACCACGCCCAGGCUCAGGUCAACAUUCUACUGGAGAAAAUUUCCAUUCCAUGGUAACCCUACUGUCAAAGAGUUGACUGUCCAGUAAGGGAAAUUAAUUACUAUGGCAAAUUUUAGAGAGUAACAGAAGUGUAGCUCAUGUUGCAUUUGGGCCUAUCAAAGAUCAAUCUUGGGCUGGGCACUGUGGCUCACACCUGUAAUCCCACCACUUUGGGAAGCCAAGGUGAGCAGAUCACCUGAGGUCUGGAGUUCAAG